rnacentral:lncRNA from 1 species
GUGGUGAGCUCAGGGACACGUGUGUGUGUGUGUGUAGCCGUCAAUCUCCUGGGCUCUGUCUGCCGUUAAUAUACUGAGAGACGGAAUGAGAGCAUCCCCAGGUGGUGAACUCAGGGACGUGUGUGUGUGUGUGUGUGUGUGUGUGUGUGUGUGUGUGUGGCCACCAAUCUCCUGGGCUCUGUCUGCCCUGUUAAUAGAGAUGGAAUGAGUGCAUCCCCAGGUGGUGAGCUCAGGGACACGUGUGUGUGUGUGUGUAGCCGUCAAUCUCCUGGGCUCUGUCUGCCGUUAAUAUACUGAGAGACGGAAUGAGAGCAUCCCCAGGUGGUGAACUCAGGGACGUGUGUGUGCUUGUGUGUGUGUGUGUGUAGCUGUCUCCUGGGCUCCUGGGCUCCAUCUCCCCUGUUAAUAGACUGAGAGACAGAAUGAGGGCGUCCCCAGGUAGUGAGCUUAGGGACAUGUGUGUAGCCAUCAUUAUCCUUUAGUACCUGGUCCCCGUGCCCUCCGAGCCAUCCAAGGGCUUCAGGAGGCCGAGCAGAAGGAGGGUUGGCAGCAAAUAAUGAUUUGACCUUAAGCCAACCAAUAAUCCAACCCCUUGCAUCUCUGUGACAUUCUUCUUCCACAUGCCCUUCAGCUCCGUUUCUUCCCUGAACUGCAGGAUGUCUCUGCAAAGCGCAGAGGGUGCAGGGGCUACUGGACCUCCAAGAAGUGAUGGAUUUGGUCUCCAAGUUGAUCCCUUAAGAGAUGGCUGCUGCCCUUUGUGGGUCUCAUCACUGCAAUCUUCUCAUCCUAUCUCCUGGCUCUGAGUCUCAAAUGUUUACUGGCCCAGGGCAAGGACCCAUUCCCAUGGUAUUCUAGAUUCAUGCCAUCCAUCUCCGACUGCACUGCUGGGUGGCAGGACAAUGGCUUUGCAUCUGUGCUUCAUCCCACAGAACCCAGCUUCUGCCUCAGGGAGGAACCAACUGUACUUAUUUCUCUAGAUUCUUUUCCUCCUUCUUGUGGUUCUUUCUAAAAAUAGAGACAGACUGGCAUAACCAACCAGCAAUGAGCACUCCUGUGCCCGGAGGGAUUUUAUUUGUUGCCCCAGAAAGAGAAACUGCUUCUCCCCACCUGGAGCCAGGACCCAGGAGCCAAUGGUGACACAGUAGUGCCUUCACCUGAGCG